rnacentral:rRNA from 1 species
GACGAACGCUGGCGGCGUGCCUAAUACAUGCAAGUCGAGCGCAGGAAGCUGACGGAACUCUUCGGAGGGAAGGCGGUGGAAUGAGCGGCGGACGGGUGAGUAACACGUAAGGAACCUGCCUCAAGGAUUGGGAUAACUCCGAGAAAUCGGAGCUAAUACCGGAUAGUUCAACGGACCGCAUGGUCCGCUGAUGAAAGGCGCUCCGGCGUCACCUUGAGAUGGCCUUGCGGUGCAUUAGCUAGUUGGUGGGUAACGGCCCACCAAGGCGACGAUGCAUAGCCGACCUGGAAGGGUGAUCGGCCACACUGGGACUGAGACACGGCCCAGACUCCUACGGGAGGCAGCAGUAGGGAAUCUUCCACAAUGGACGAAAGUCUGAUGGAGCAACGCCGCGUGAGUGAUGAAGGUUUUCGGAUCGUAAAACUCUGUUGUAAGGGAAGAACACGUACGAGAGGAAAUGCUCGUACCUUGACGGUACCUUACGAGAAAGCCACGGCUAACUGCGUGCCAGCCGCCGCCGUAAGAC